UUAACGUGUGCCCGAGUCAUUGGGUGUUACGAAACCCAGAGGCGAAGUGAAAGUGAAGGCCUGACCUUGUCGUCUGGGCUGAGGUGAGAUCCCGUCGUUUCCCGUGUAAGGUGCCACCGAGCAGUCGAACGGCGGGCGCAUCACCUGCCCGUCCCAUGGUGUGGUCAUGUGUCUUCGGGCGCGUGCGUCACCGGGGCGGAGCCUGAGCGCACACGUUGAGACCCGAAAGAUGGUGAACUAUGCUUGCGCAGGUUGAAGCCAGAGGAAACUCUGGUGGAGGACCGCAGCGAUUCUGACGUGCAAAUCGAUCGUCUAACGUGAGUAUAGGGGCGAAAGACUAAUCGAACCAUCUAUACUGC
rnacentral:rRNA from 1 species